rnacentral:rRNA from 1 species
GACGAACGCUGGCGGCGUGCUUAACACAUGCAAGUCGAACGGAAAGGCCCUGCUUGCAGGGUGCUCGAGUGGCGAACGGGUGAGUAACACGUGGGUGAUCUGCCCCUUACUUUGGGUUAAGCCUGGGAAACUGGGUCUACUACUGGAUAGGACCAUGCUGUAGGUGGUGUGGUGGAAAGAUUAGUUUCGGUAAGGGAUGAGCUCGCGGCCUAUCAGCUUGUUGGUGGGGUAAUGGCCUACCAAGGCGUCGACGGGUAGCCGGCCUGAGAAGGUGUAAGGCCAAGUGGGAACGGUAUGAGGGCUCGGACUCCUCCGCGGGGCAGCAGUGGGGAAUAUGCUUCACAGGCAGUAAGCCAGAUGCAGCGACGGCUCGGGGAGGAUGACGACUUUCGGGUUGUAAUGACCAUUAAGCGAGGUCGAAGCCCGUGUAGUGACGGUAGUGGAAGAAGAAGCACCGGCUAACUACGUG